GACGAACGCUGGCGGCGUGCUUAACACAUGCAAGUCGAACGGAAAGGCCCUGCUCUUGUGGGGUGCUCGAGUGGCGAACGGGUGUGUAACACGUGAGUAACCUGCCCUUGACUUUGGGAUAACUUCAGGAAACUGGGGCUAAUACCGGAUAGGAGCUCCUGCUGCAUGGUGGGGGUUGGAAAGUUUCGGCGGUUGGGGAUGGACUCGCGGCUUAUCAGCUUGUUGGUGGGGUAGUGGCUUACCAAGGCUUUGACGGGUCGCCGGCCUGAGAGGGUGACCGGCCACAUUGGGACUGAGAUAGGGCCCAGACCCCAACGGGAGGCAGCGGGGGGGAUUAUUGCACAAGGGGCGGAAGCCUGAUGCGGCAACGCCGCGUGCGGGAUGACGGCCUUCGGGUGGUAAACCGCUUUCGCCUGUGACGAGGCGUGAGUGACGGUAAUGGGUAAAGAAGCACCGGCUAACUACGUG
rnacentral:rRNA from 1 species